CCAGAUCUCAGGGCAUUUCCACAUCUUGCAUGAGGCCAUGGUGGCCACAGCUGGGCUCUGGGAAGACAAACAUAGAUAAACAGCAAAGUGGUACCAGCGGGAUGAAGAAUAGCACUGAGUCAAAGCAAUAGGCUUCUGACAUACAUGCAUCGCUACACUGCCCAGUGGCAUAAACAUUCUCCAUCAUCUUCUCCUCUCUCGGAAGGAACGUGCUAUAAGAAGUGGGGAUGAUCACCUAUCCCAUUCAGGGCUGCCUGCGAGAUACACCAUGGGAUCCCCAGAAUAGCAUCUCUGGGCUGUAUUCUAAGGAGGACAUUGAGACACAGCAGCUGGAAAUCUACGUUUUUUCCUGACUUUCCCUUGAAGUAUCCUUGGCUUGAGAAGCACCCUGGCAGGAACAAGUUUGUUGUUAAUGACCAAUUACUCCAGGAUGGUGGAGGAGUGGUGCUUUUUGGUACAUGGAGAAGGGCAGAAGAAGUCAAAUGAGCAGGUGCUUGUCUUGAUGCAGCUGGUAGACUGCAGAAAUGGCUACACGACUGAUGGGAGUGCUAGUACAAUAUGGAGGGCCCUACACUCCGAAGCACCACAGGCGCAGUCAGAGCCACCACCAGCAAUAAACUAUCCAACACCGAUGGAAGGGACAAAAAAUGGUCAAUGUUGCCACUAUUUUCAGGAAGAAAAAAAGAUUGCAUUUUCCUUUUCUUUUGGACUUAAUUUUAGAAACUGUUUAUACACAACUUGUUUUGUCUGGUUGGAUGCAUCUUGGGUUACUUUUGUCUGUCCAGUUUUAAGUACUUGACCACUAAUUGCUGUUUCCUUGAUGAAGAGCUUUGCUUUUAGUUUCUGAAUUUCAUACUGAAUUGAGAGCGCUCGUAUGCUGUCCCAAUACUGCUCUCAGUAUGCCUCCAGGGCUCUGAGAUGCCCCCAAGGCCAGACUCAAGCCUCAAAGCGAAUAACAUGGCACAGUUGUGCUGCCUUAGGGCCUCCCAAGGGCACCCCAGAAGCCUGGAUGCCUGUGUUAGUCAUCACCCCAAACUCGGCCCAUACAGAUAGCAGCCCCACAGCCUCUGCUCCCUGUCCCAGGAGAGCUCUCUGUAGCAGCAGUACUGUGGUAGCUGUCUGUGAUGGUCCUACUAACACAGAAUGAAGGGAAAAAAGGGAUGGCAGAAUCAGCAUCACGGAGGAAGAUGCAGAGCAGCCACAGCACCUACAUGCCCUGCAUUUUCAGCUGGCAAGGUGACUGAGGGCUGAUGGGAGCUGCUACAUGUACUAGGCUGUAUGCAUGCUUUAAGAACCCAUUGCUGGGAACUGAGAAGAUUUUAUAUGUAUGUGCAGCUUUACACUGUCUUACUGGUAUCUGAACAUCUGCUGCUACUUAAAAGGCAACCCAGUCCUGACCUACCUACAGAGAAGACCUUGGGUAUUGUUUUUUUUAAAGCAGUGGAUAGGUCAGAAUGCAAAUGCUAUUAAGAAAAGCUCAAGUGAGCAUUUAAUGUUACAUUUGGCUCUACCUGCUUCUGGUGCCACUCUCCUGCCCAUAUCCACCUCUUAUUUCUUAUAGUCAAAACUCCUUGGAGCACGCAUGUUUCAUUCAGUGUCCGGUGCAGCAGUCUUAGUUGUGAGUAUUGACUUCUCGGCAGUAACAAUAAUAAUAGCAUUUAAUUAACCGAGUUAUUAGAAUCCCUUUGACAAGAUACCUGGUUAUAUUACUAAUAAAAGCCAUCUGUAAUUCUACUGAACUAUUAGUUAACGCUGCUCUCUCUUUCGCCAGUGUGGCAUAACUAGAAUAUAACAGUAGAUUUUUAUUGAUAAGGUUUCUAUCGAGAGAAGUUAAAUGGUAUUUGCCAUCACCAAAUGACAUUAAAUACAUUAACUGAAAGCCUACCAGACACCAACCAACAACAUAAAAUAUGGAAAUGUUCUUCCCCCCAGCUCAGUAGGGCUGCCACUUAGCUAUUUCUGACAUUUAAUUAACGUAAACGUCAUUAUUCCUAACACAGACCAUCUUGCAGUGAAUACAUUUUCAAAUGCUCAGAGCAAAGCAGAAAGGAGUACAGGAAUCCUGAGGAGUUACAAAUCAUUCCCAUAUUAGGUACUAUUUCCAUAAAGAGCUGGGUUCCCAGUUUAUCCAUUAUCAUUAUGCCUAUUUAUUGCAUAUUAAGUAUGAGGGAUGCGUGUCUAGACUAAAACCCUGUUUUUAUAGGUGUUACAUGAGAAAGCCAUGAGGCAAUCCCUGCUCGUAUAGACUGCAAUGUGGUAUCACAGUGACUCUGUCAGUGGUGCUCAAUGCCAGGGCGAGAGGCACAAACCAGCACACAGGAGGUUCCCUCUGAACACCGGGAGCACUUCUGUGCUGUGCAGUGACGGAGCACUGGCACAGGCUGCCCAGAGGCUGUGGAGUCUCCUCCUUGGAGAUCUUCCAAAGCUGCUUGGACACGGCUCUGGGCACCCUGCUCUGGGUGUCCCUGCUGGAGCAGGGGUUGGACAAGAUGACCUCCAGAGGUCCCUUCCCACCUCAACCAUCCUGUGAUUCUAUGAAUUUGUUUUCCAAUCAGUGUCCAAGCAUUGAGCUAAAAGGCCAUGAAGGACUUCAAGACAUAUUUCCAUUGCAUCAGGUGAACUGCAAAGCCUGAGCUGCCCCUGGAUCAGCAUCUCCAGCUUGGUCAAGGCCUGGCUGAACAAGCUAUGACCUUUCUGCUGCCAUGUAAUCUGGUGUUAACACAAAUAUACAGCCCAGCCUACUCUUGUUGGCACCUCUGCAGGCUGUGGUGCAGCAGCAUGUGGUGACACUGGUUUGGGACUGUCAGCCUGGAAGCCGCUGCUGUGGGAUACAGUGUGGGUACAUGUGCAAGUCCUUAUGCCACUCCAUCUGCUGUAGGGUCUUAGUUGGCCCUUAUUUCAACAAGGUGUUCCGAGGACCCAUUUUAAAGGAGCUCACAGAGUGCAGAUGGGAAAAUGAAGAGGGAAAGGCAGGUGAGACAGCAAGCAGAGGUGAGAUCAGACACUGGAAUCUAAAGGCAUAAGGCAGCAUUAGUAACGAAGAGGCUUGUGUUUGCCAGUCCUGGUUACAAGAAACCUCACUGCAAACAGUGCAUAUAAAACAUGGCAUUGUGAGAUCUUUGUAUACAAAUACAGUUAAGAGAAGAAGAUGCUAUAUGGAAAACUUUGCCAUAUUUCUGAAUAUACACUCUUUGAAAAAUAAUGUUGACAGAGCCAGAACGGGCCUGAUAUAUCCAACUCUCAUGCGCACGUCCUCAUUCUUAUGGUUUAAUAAUCAUAAUGAACUAUAGGGGGAAGGUAAAUAGACUUCAUUCCACACAUCUGAGGAUAAUAAUAAUAAGGAAGAGAUUUCAAACAUUGGUAAUGACUUGUAGAACUGCACAUUGCUUAAAACAUCGAACGCAAGCCAAGAAAUACCCCUCGAGGCUGCAAUCAAAAACUGUUUUUGGCUCUACACUGUGAACAGAAAUUUUAUUUGAUCAACAGAGCUAUUGCAACAGCCUUACUGUUUAGCCUCUAGAAGCUUGUCUCUGAAGCAGCAGCCAUGCUGCAUGGCAAAGCUUGGGGCUAGUGAAACUGCAGCCUCUGCUAAAAGCUUUGGGAUGGUCAUGACAGGGACUGAGGAACACCUCAGGUUCUUCUCCUUUUGCAAGUUCAGGAGCCUGUGUAACUUUUCAUGAGGAAAGAGGAGAGAUCUGAGGGUGGAAAAAACAUUCCUCUUUUAGAGAACAGAUGCUGCUUUGGGAGAAUGAAAUCGACUGGACUGGGUUUUGCAAAGUGGUUCAGAGUUCUGCCCUCAGUAGCUGUACAAAUACAGAGGCAAUCCCUGGUCCAGGGGCCUUGCAGGCUAAAAAGAAAACAGGUGCCUGUGUGCUCCCCCUCCCACUGCCAGAGGAGAAAAAACUUCCUGCCUGAGAACACUGGCAGGAAGAGAAGGAAAAACUUGAGAAUAUUUUUUAACACGUUCUCAGAAAACGACACACCUUCUCACAAUAUUUUGGAUUUAUUUACUUUUGUCAGUGUUGAAAUGUGAAAGGUAGAAAACGCUUAAAUUGAGAAGGCUGAUGGCCUAUUAUUCAUUUUCAUAUCUGCCAUCAGAGACGUGUUUCCUGCUGGCAUCUCUAAGGAAAAGGAAGUUUAGAGAAGACAGAUAGUUGUUAAGCACAGAAUCAUUUUCAGCAGGGAACAAGAAGCUGUAUUGAUUCAAGAAAAUGAAGGAGUGAUACUGACUACCCCUCAGUACAACAUACCUUACCUGGAUAAUUAUUUAGUGACAUACAGGCUGAUGGCUUGGUGAUCUGGCAAGCUGGACUUUCUCCAAACAUGGGAAUAAAAUGUAAAAUAUUAGCAGGCUCCUGUUCAGCAAAAAGAAACCAGUGGUGCAGGAAAGCUGUGAUCUGUCACAGACACGAGAGCUCAGAUGUAAAACAGACCCUCAGGAGAGGAUUUUCAGGCAAAUAUGCCGUAGGAGAGAGUCCAGAGCCCAAAGAGUCAACCGGGUCCUCACAGAGGCCAUGAGCGUAGGAUGGACCAAAACACAACAAAACUAGGCAACCUACAAAUAGUUUGUGUGAUACAUACAGAGAAGGCACUCCAAGUCCUCCGUAAGCACAGAAAUGAGAAGCCUGAAACGUGCUGGUUCUAAGAGUUGAAACUACCAUUACAAGUCAUGUGGCUUCUUAAAGUAUCAGCUCUGAUUUU
rnacentral:lncRNA from 1 species